rnacentral:rRNA from 1 species
UGGGGAAUUUUGGACAAUGGGCGAAAGCCUGAUCCAGCAAUGCCGCGUGUGUGAAGAAGGCCUUCGGGUUGUAAAGCACUUUUGUCCGGAAAGAAAUGGCUCUGGUUAAUACCUGGGGUCGAUGACGGUACCGGAAGAAUAAGGACCGGCUAACUACGUGCCAGCAGCCGCGGUAAUACGUAGGGUCCAAGCGUUAAUCGGAAUUACUGGGCGUAAAGCGUGCGCAGGCGGUUGUGCAAGACCGAUGUGAAAUCCCCGAGCUUAACUUGGGAAUUGCAUUGGUGACUGCACGGCUAGAGUGUGUCAGAGGGGGGUAGAAUUCCACGUGUAGCAGUGAAAUGCGUAGAGAUGUGGAGGAAUACCGAUGGCGAAGGCAGCCCCCUGGGAUAACACUGACGCUCAUGCACGAAAGCGUGGGGAGCAAACAGGAUUAGAUACCCUGGUAGUCCACGCCCUAAACGAUGUCAACUAGUUGUUGGGGAUUCAUUUCCUUAGUAACGUAGCUAACGCGUGAAGUUGACCGCCUGGGGAGUACGGUCGCAAGAUUAA